GCAAUAUCAGCUGGCUGGCUGCUGCUCCAUAAUUGGAGGUCCAGGCUAGGAACUAUGGAGAUGGAGGAGGUUUCUGGUCCUGGGGAGUGACUUAAAACUACACCCUGCUGGGACUGGAUGGUGUGGUGGGGUUGCUUGUGGCAGGGCAGCUUCCAGGAAGUGCCAUACCUGUGUCUCCCCAGUGAAAGGAACACCCUGUGAAAGACCAGGAACUUGCUGAUGUACCGAUUCACAAAGCUCUCAGUCAAGGACUCUGUUAAAAUGGGACUGAGAGAACUACAGAUACCCUACCAGAAGGUGAUAGGGGAGGAGGGAGAAAAGGUGGCAAAGAUCAUCUGGCAGAAGAACCACUGGCACAGACUAUUCAAGGAUACCUUCCUCCCCUUCUUCCCAGGGAACAGAGCAGUGGCAAUCUGGAAGAAGUUGGGGACUGUAAAGAAGAAGAAAAAAAAAAGGAGGAGGGGGGGGGCACGGAAAAAAAGUUGUUUGGGUUUUUUUUUGAGUGGUGAGGACAGUGGGGGAGAGAGAGAGAGAGAGAGAUGGUGAGAACAAGGAGAACAGUGGCAGCAAUGAUGAGGACAGUGACAUGGACUAAAGCCUAAAUAAAGGAGUGGAGGGCAGAGGUGAGCCACCGUAACUGGAACAGUGAAGGGAAUGCGAACGGGUGCAUGGGUAUGAGAACUGUUUUAGCUAUGUGAGACUGUACAUGCUUGAAGACUAGUAAGAUAAAUAGAUGUACUCUACAAUCUAUCUAGAUUUUGUCCUUUUUUUUUUUUUUUUUUUUUUUUUUUUU